rnacentral:rRNA from 1 species
GCGGGUGCAACGCCGAGAGGGGGACGACGAGGAGGGGUCUUCGGACGCUCUGAGCGGUUGAUUCCAUGCUUCCAGGAAAAUCCCCGGGCCACAGUGAAGACGAGGUGACCGUACCGCAAACCGACUCAGGUAGGUGGGGAGAGUAUCCCAAGGCGCUUGAGAGAACCCUGGUUAAGGAACUCGGCAAAUUAGCACCGUAACUUCGGGAGAAGGUGCGCCCCGUAUCGUGGAGGACUUCGCGUCUGAAGCGUAGCGGGGUCUCAAGAAAAAUGGCGGUAGCGACUGUUUAACUAAAAACACAGGACUCUGCAAAGUCGUAAGACGAUGUAUAGGGUCUGACGCCUGCCCGGUGCUGGAAGGUCAAGGGGAGUUGUCAGGGCAACCGAAGCAGCGAACCGAAGCCCCAGUAAACGGCGGCCGUAACAAUAACGGUCCUAAGGUAGCGAAAUUCCUUGUCGGGUAAG